rnacentral:rRNA from 1 species
CGUGGGUAACCUGCCCAAGGGAUCGGGAUAACACCUGGAAACAGAUGCUAAUACCGGAUAACAACAGAUGAUGCCUAUCAACUGUUUAAAAGAUGGUUCUGCUAUCACUCUUGGAUGGACCUGCGGUGCAUUAGCUAGUUGGUAGGGUAACGGCCUACCAAGGCGAUGAUGCAUAGCCGAGUUGAGAGACUGAUCGGCCACAUUGGGACUGAGACACGGCCCAAACUCCUACGGGAGGCAGCAGGG